rnacentral:lncRNA from 1 species
GCCACUCAAUCAUCUUUUAACAAGAUGCCAGUAGAUUUGUCUUAUACCCUGAAUAAAUACAGUUGAUUUUGAGAAGCAGUGACUUCCUGGAGCAGAUGGUACAGGGAGUGACAACUAGAAGGCCAAGAGCACCUGCGCGCUCACCUGAAGAGCUCUUUUACAGUCUCCUACUUUAACCAGGAAACUGUUUUAAGCUCAGUUUUCCAGCAUGAAGAAAAUGUCCCUAUCACAGAAGAGUGGUCUCUGGAGGAAACACAUUUCUGCUUGUGACAGAAUCGCCACCAGAAGCCAGGCCAUCCUGUAGCUUUACCCUUCACAUUUCCUCUGAUGAGAAUAAGGCUGCCCUGUAUCAAGAGCUUCUUGACAAUAAAAUCUAGCUAGUGCAGCGUUCAAAU